rnacentral:lncRNA from 1 species
GGUCUUGAGUUCUAUCCCUGGUACCAAAAAAAACAAAAAAACUAGGAUGUUUUAAGUUUUUUCUAAUGUGUAUACAUUGGUAUUUUUGCCAUAGGAAUCCAGUGCCCUCUGUUGAGUGGAACUGAAGAUAUCCUAGGAACAGAUAAUUAAGGAAACACAGAGAGGAGCCGUGCUGAGAAAUGAGUGGUCAUCUGUGUGGCUCAGAAUACAGUGCAGCUGUGCAAAGACUGACCGCAAUCGCAAUGUAAACAGUGUAAGCAGGCUGAGGGUCGAAUCUACUGGGGAAAACAGAUUCCAUGGGACAGAGGUCUCCAGAAAAGCCUUGGCGGAUGGAUGGUGUUUUAACUAUCUCCUGCGAUCCUUAGAGUUUGUGCGAUUUCUUUUUCUUAUUGUGAACACCGA